AAGACCCAGACUCCCAGGGUCAUCAACCUCCUCGGGUCACUAACCCUCCCCAGUGUCUGUCUACCCCUAAGUCCAGAGAACACGUCCUCUCUAGGCUCGAGCCGGAAUCAAUAUAGGCUACAAGGGCAUCAGUUCAGGCUGCGCGGAGGAGAGAAGGAAGUGCUGAUGUGGAGGAUCCGUGAGGUUCAUCUAUCUGUAGUGCUUCUGGCCAGAGAAAAGGCCGAAGAGAGAAAACCCUGAGGAACAUCUUUGACCUGCAUAGAAACUUAUCUGAAGAUUUUCAGAAUCUGAGCCUCACCCUCAGUCUAUCCCAGUUUUAUCCUGACCUGUCCACAUCUGUUAUACUCCAAGGCUUGCUGGGCCCAACACUGGAAGCUAUUUAAUGUUUCUAUUGCGACUGGCCUUUUAAAGCCAGUGGGAUUCUCCAUGCUACACUUGAGCCUGGAGACUAGAAAACAUGACAGCCUGUUUUCAUUAA
ensembl:lncRNA novel transcript